rnacentral:rRNA from 1 species
ACAGGUGGUGCAUGGUUGUCGUCAGCUCGUGUCGUGAGAUGUUGGGUUAAGUCCCGCAACGAGCGCAACCCUUGUCUUAUGUUGCCAGCACGUGAUGGUGGGGACUCAUGAGAGACUGCCGGGGUUAACUCGGAGGAAGGUGGGGAUGACGUCAAAUCAUCAUGCCCCUUAUGUCCAGGGCUUCACACAUGCUACAAUGGUCGGUACAACGCGCUGCGAGCCUGUGAGGGUGAGCGAAUCGCUGAAAGCCGGCCUCAGUUCGGAUUGGGGUCUGCAACUCGACCCCAUGAAGUCGGAGUCGCUAGUAAUCGCAGAUCAGCAACGCUGCGGUGAAUACGUUCCCGGGCCUUGUACACACCGCCCGUCACGUCAUGAAAGUUGGUAACACCCGAAGCCAGUGGCCUAACCCUUGUGGGAGGAGCUGUCGAAGGUGGGAUCGGCGAUUGGGACGAAGUCGUAACAAGGUAGCCGUACCGGAAGGUGCGGCUGGAUCACCUCCUUU